GAGUAAAGUGGCGCACGGGUGAGUAACACGUGACUAACCUACCCUGGAGUGGGGGAUAACUGGGAGAAAUCCUAGCUAAUACCGCAUAAUACCUACGGGUCAAAGGAGCAAUUCGCUCUGGGAGGGGGUCGCGGCCGAUUAGUUAGUUGGCGGGGUAAUGGCCCACCAAGACGAUGAUCGGUAUCCGGCCUGAGAGGGCGCACGGACACACUGGAACUGAAACACGGUCCAGACUCCUACGGGAGGCAGCAGUGGGGAAUUUUGCGCAAUGGGGGAAACCCUGACGCAGCAACGCCGCGUGGAGGAUGAAGUCCUUCGGGACGUAAACUCCUUUCGAUCGGGACGAUUAUGACGGUACCGGAAGAAGAAGCCCCGGCUAACUUCGUGCCAGCAGCCGCGGUAAUACGAGGGGGGCGAGCGUUGUUCGGAAUUAUUGGGCGUAAAGGGUGCGUAGGCGGUUUGGUAAGUCUGAUGUGAAAUCUAUGGGCUCAACUCAUAGUCUGCAUCGGAAACUGCCGGGCUUGAGUAUGGGAGAGGUGAGUGGAAUUCCUGGUGUAGCGGUGAAAUGCGUAGAUAUCAGGAGGAACACCUGUGGCGAAAGCGGCUCACUGGACCAUAACUGACGCUGAUGCACGAAAGCUAGGGGAGCAAACAGGAUUAGAUACCCUGGUAGUCCUAGCCCUAAACGAUGAUCGCUUGGGUGUGACGGGUACCCAAUCCCGCCGUGCCGUAGCUAACGCGUUAAGC
rnacentral:rRNA from 1 species